GAUGAACGCUGGCGGCGUGCUUAAUACAUGCAAGUCGAGCGGACGGGCGCUGCGCUUGUGUGUUUCUUGUUUGGGGAGGGCGGGUGAGUAACAUGUGGAUAAUCUCCUUGUCAGUCUGGGAUCACCUCGAGAAUCCGUCGAUUAUACGAGAUAAUCUUUUGAUCCGUGUGGUUCGUUAGUGAAUGACGGCCUUGGGGGCUGUUCUCGCUGGAUUUGCGGUUGUUUAGGUAGUUGGUGGGGUACUGGCUUACCAAGGCUACGCCGGGUGGCCGGCCUGAGAGGGUGACCGGCCACAUUGGGACUGAGAUACGGACCAGACUCCUACGGGAGGCAGCAGUGGGGAAUAUUGCACAAUGGGCGGAAGCCUGAUGCAGCAACGCCGCGUGCGGGAUGACGGCCUUCGGGUUGUAAACCGCUUUCGCCUGUGACGAAGCGUGAGUGACGGUAAUGGGUAAAGAAGCACCGGCUAACUACGUG
rnacentral:rRNA from 1 species